CCUACGGGUGGCAGCAGUGGGGAAUAUUGCACAAUGGGGGAAACCCUGAUGCAGCGACGCCGCGUGAGUGAAGAAGUAAUUCGUUACGUAAAGCUCUAUCAGCAGGGAAGAAACACUGACCUUACGGUCAGCAGACGGUACCUGAGUAAGAAGCCCCGGCUAACUACGUGCCAGCUGCCGCGGUAAUACGUAGGGGGCAAGCGUUAUCCGGAGUUACUGGGUGUAAAGGGAGCGUAGACGGUGCGCCAAGUCUGGAGUGAAAUGCCGAGGCUUAACUGCGGAACUGCUUUGGAAACUGGAGAGCUAGAGUACGGGAGGGGCAAGCGGAAUUCCUAGUGUAGCGGUGAAAUGCGUAGAUAUUAGGAGGAACACCGGUGGCGAAGGCGGCUUACUGGACCGUAACUGACGUUGAGGCUCGAAAGCGUGGGGAGCAAACAGGAUUAGAUACCCUGGUAGUC
rnacentral:rRNA from 1 species